rnacentral:rRNA from 1 species
GAUCAUGGCUCAGGAUGAACGCUGGCGGCGUGCCUAACACAUGCAAGUCGAACGGAGCUGCUUUGAUGAAGUUUUUCGGAUGGAUUUAAAACAGCUUAGUGGCGGACGGGUGAGUAACGCGUGGGUAACCUGCCUCACACUUGGGGGAUAACGAGUUAGAAAUAGCUGCUAAUACCGCAUAAGCGCACGGUUUCCGCAUGGAACAGUGUGAAAAACUCCGGUGGUGUGAGAUGGACCCGCGU